UGGCUCAGAGGUUAAAGCAUCUGCCUGGAACGCAGGAGACCAGGGUUUGAUCCCUG
rnacentral:tRNA from 1 species